GACGAACGCUGGCGGCGUGCUUAACACAUGCAAGUCGAACGGAAAGGCUCCAGCUUGCUGGUGUACUCGAGUGGCGAAAGGGUGAGUAACACGUGGGUAAUCUGCCCUGCGCUCUGGGAUAAGCCUGGGAAACUGGGUCUAAUACUGGAUAUGACCUUUCUCCUUAUGGGGUUUGGUGGAAAGUUUUUCGGUGUAGGAUGAGCCCGCGGCCUAUCAGCUUGUUGGUGGGGUGAUGGCAUACCAAGGCGACGACGGGUAGCCGGCCUGAGAGGGUGAUCGGCCACAUUGGGACUGAGAUACGGCACAGACUCCUACGGGAGGCAGCAGUGGGGAAUAUUGCACAAUGGGCGGAAGCCUGAUGCAGCGACGCCGCGUGAGGGAUGACGGCCUUCGGGUUGUAAACCUCUUUCAGCAGGGACGAAGCGUAAGUGACGGUACCUGCAGAAGAAGCACCGGCUAACUAUGUG
rnacentral:rRNA from 1 species